ensembl:lncRNA
GUUGAAGCUUUUCAUUAGAUUGAAGAAUUUCCCGUCCUAGUCUGGCAAGCUUUCAUCAUGAAAUGGAUGUUGCGUCUCGUCAACUGCUCCCACCUCUGCUGAGAUGAGUCACGGUGUUUCUCGACCCUGCGAGGUGGCAGCGUUACAGCAGGCUUGGGCGCUGACUGCAGCCCCUCCCCGUCCCGGGCCUCACGCCUCUGAUGGGAAGUCAGCGAGCUCCCUUCUGGUGGCUUUUCAGAUUUGCUCAUCAUUGGUUUGCAGCAAUUUGAUAGCGGGAUGUGUUGGCGUCUUUUUCUGUGCUUUAUCCUCCUUGGGAGUCACUCAAACUCUCGGAUCUGUGGGUUUACAGCUUUCGCACCCCCAUCCCAGCGCGAGGGAAAAUUUCGACCGUCCUUUCUGCAGCCCCCCGUUCCUCACUCCCGGACUUGCGAUGGCCUCGUGGGAGCACCCCCAGGGCUCCGCCGAUUUGGGGCCGCCGUGGUGCCUUCCUUGCUUGGGCUGGUUCCGUGAUUUGUUCUUCCUCAGUCUCUAGCUGACCGUUUAAUCCCCUCCAGGGACUGAUAAAAACAAGCUUCUAGGAGUUCCUGCUGUGGGGUAACGGGAUCGGCAGCGUCUUGGGAAGGUUGGGAUGCAGGUUCGAUCCCUGGCCUAGCACAAUGGGUUAAGGAUCCGGUGUUGCCACAGCUGUGGCAUAGGUGGCAACUGUGGCUCAGAUCUGACCCCUGGCUUAGGAACUCCAUAUGCCACGGGGCGGCCAAAAAAGGAGGAAAAAAGCCUUUUAGAACUAUGCUGAGUUUACAGCAAAGUUGGGACAACAGGGCACCCCCAGUUACCCCACACCCGGACUCCCCACGGCCCUGCCUUAGUGCAAGUGCUUCAGCAGUCAAUCCACAGGCUUUAUCUACUUAUUUAUCAUCUUUUUUGUGGCUUGUGGAAGUUCCUAGGCCAGAGACUGAAUCCAAGCUGCAGCUGCAACCUAUGGCACAGCUGUGGGCAAUGUCAGAUCCUCGAGCCACUGAGCUCCACACAGACCAGUGUUAACUAAAGUCCCCACUCUGCUCAGAUUUCUUUAGAUUUUACAUAGGGUCCUUCUGCUCCAGGUCACCCCCCAGGCUACUCCUUUCACGUCUCUUGGGCCUUUCUGGUUUCUGACCACCCGAUGGCUUUGAGGAGUCUGGUCUGCUACCGUGCAGGAAGUUACUCAACAUGGAUUUGCCUGCUGUUUUUUCCGUAGCGUUCGCUGGGGUUGUGUCAGUGUUUGCAGGUGGCGUGGCCCUUCCAUCACAGCUGUCAGGGUGACUCCAUGCUGCUGGCCGGGGCCUUCAGGAGCCUCCUCCGUUCGGUCACUGCCCCCCAGCCUGAGCUCCGUGGAAGGAAGCCGCCAGAGCCGCCCUCUGAAGGGGCAGUGACACAGCGCCUCCCCGGGAAUUCUUCUGCACAGGAGCCGCAUCCCAGAGGCGUUUCGUUCACGUUCCUUCCUCCUAGCAGCUUCCGUUUCUCCGUUUCUCUCUUGGCCCUCCGCCUCGAGCCCGCGGGGCACCUUCGCAAUGUCCUUCCGGCCGAGCCAGAGACCGGCAGGCCCGGCGCUGCCGCGGGGGCUCUUCCCUUCUUGGCCCUUGGGCCCUGCCCCUUGGCUCAACCGCGGGUUUUGACUGGAUCCGGACACGAGGAACUUGGCCACGUUGUGUCUGGGUUGGGGUGUCCGCCUUUCAGAGAGGAAAGAUGGGCCUGGUCCUUGCCGAAGGCUUGUCCCUAAGCCCCACUUCCCGGCUCCGGCGGUGGUGAGCUCCCUGUGAAGCUCUGGCCGUGAGGACUCAGCCACCGCAGAGCCAGCCCUGGCGAGUCUGGCAACCACUCACCGCACAGCCCCUCGGCAGCCGUCGGCUACGUAGAAGGUUCGCGGGCCAGCCCUACAGUCUCACACUGUGGACGGGCCAGCAGCGCUCGGCCAAAGACCCAUGGGGGCUGCCAGGCAGCUCCCUGCUCUCGGGACCACGCCUUGAAAACUCUCGCUGCCUCAGCUUCUCCAAAGGCCAGGCUCUCGGACUUUGAAAACGGCCUCGGGGAAGAAAGCCCGCGCCCCAGGGCCUCCCCCUGGCCUUGCUGUUUCACGGCCCCCAUGCAGCGCGAGGGUGCCGUGCACGGUGAGCACGGCCUGCAGGCCCUACCUUGGGGCCGGGAUGAGUCUGAGGGGGCCCUCCGGGGCGUGCAGCCCAGAAUCCGAUGGUGCGUCUCUCUCGCCCUGGUCAAGGCCCCCUUCUCUGCAGGCGGCCCUCGCCGCCCCGGGAGGGGACGGAAGGCAGCGCUGGGAGAUCCGGCAGCGCUGCAGAGAAGCAGUGAAGCAGCGAAGCAGCUGCUGUGUGCCGUCCACGCCCCUGCCCCCGAAAAGCUCUUCCUGGGAAAUACUAAGUCUUAGAAACCCGGUUCGAAGCCUUGAUACCUCCUACAGGACCGCGAGUAACCUGAAACGUACGCAGCGCUGCCCGGUGUCCACGUCCGCGGACGCAGCCUCUGUCUCUGAGGAUUUCCUCAAAGGCCCUGCAGCCCAGCAGGACGAGCCAGCACGGCCCUUCCCGGAGGGGCCCACCUGAACUCUUCUAGCAUCUGCCCAUUUCAGCGCCCCAGCCCACAGGACUGGUCUGCGUGCGGUGCUCCAGUGUCCCGGCGUGGCUGGCUGACCACUGAGGGGCUCUGGGAGCAGGGGGCCUGGGGCCCGGGGACUGUGCGGGGUGAGCGCUGCAGCCCCGGGCGCAGAGGCUGACGAACACGGGUUGGGGAUGAGGAGGAAGAACGCGGGGUGCAGAAAGGGGCAGCCACUUUCGGUCCCUGCCCCACUGGCCAUCUUGCCCUCACGCAAGCGCAGGACCGUCUGCGUGCUUCUCACGCCACUUCUUUACGUUGGCUCGGGGCCACGGCCCAGGCCCCGAGACCGUCCAUCCCUGCUCAUCUCUGGCCGCCGGCCCACCCCUGGGUCUCGAGGCCCCUCUGCAUGUGCGCACCCUGCUGACUGCGGACUCAGGAGCUGUCGGGGCCCAGAGGGACGAGAUGGGGCAGCCGCCAGCGCUUCCAGGCUCAGGAGACCCUCGGAGGGCCGGCCUCCCCGCCUCCCUUCAGACCUCAAACCUCAAAGAAAUCUUGCAGCCAAGGGUGCAGGUUCUGGGGCGUCCGUGACACCUGACGGGAGCUGACUGUUUACUCCGAGAGGAUCCCGUGGGCCCUGGCCACCUCCCCGCCAACCCCGGUGCGGUACCAAAGCCCUCUGAGCACCCGUGGGUCCGGCGGAGCCAGGCGAGCUGUGUGCAUCCACCCUCCCUCCAAGGCGGCCGUGCCCAGACCGCCAGCCCCUCUGACGGCGCCCCUCGCACCCCAGCACCCAGGCGGCGGAGGAAACAGACUGGGAGGCCACGCACAGAGCCUGUCCUUCAUGGAUCUCUGCCCGUCUCGUCCGUCUGUCUGUCUGUCCGUCCACGCAUACAUCUGUCUGUCUGUGCGGGAGGUGAAAGGCGGACUCUCGUGUAAAAAUCCAAAAUACAACUCUACAAACCCCCGGGCGCUGGUCAGCCACGUGCGGCCGGGCCCGGCUAAGACCGCGGGGUGGGGGGGUGGAGCCCGAGCUGGACCCCACGCCCGACUGGAGACUCGACACUCGGCGCGGUCAGAGCGCGGUCGGUGGGGCAGGCGGGCAAAGGGCCUGUGCACUUCAGGGUCUUCCUCGCGUUUCCUGUCACCUCCGAGGCUCAGGUUUCGCGUCUGUAAAAAGGCCACCUUCACCUUCGUGCAGGGCAAUGGGAGGCGCGACAGGCUCCGUGUGGAAAAGGUUUGGCUGCGGCAGGCAGAGGCCUGCUCGGCGGCCACGCACGCUCAUCAGGUGCAGGGACCCCGGGAACCUCCAGGCUCUGCAGUGGCCCUCGAAGCCAGCACGGGGGCAACUGCGGGCUCCUGCACGGAGGACCAGCUCAGCAGGCUGGUGGGGCCCGCCUGGCUCCGGGCAGGGGAGAGGGCGGCCCUGCCUGUCCUGGGGUCUCUGGAAAUGGUCCUUUGCCAGCUUGGAGUGGCCAGGGGUUUCACAGGGAGCUGGGGACCUGACCACGGAGACCGUGCUCCACCUGGACACUAGCCCCUCUCAAGCGAUCCCUGAGUGUGGCACUCACUUGGGCCACCUGGGCUGGUGGCCUUGGCAAGGUCCGGUUCCUGGGAGAAAGAGGCCCUCAGUCUUGGCCAGAAGGGUCUGACUCCCAUUAUGUCCCAGGGGGCGUGGUGGUAGCACUCCCAAGGCCACACUCCCGGUCACCAAGUCCCCUCCCGCGGGAGCCCUUGCCUAUUCAGCCGUGGCGCCGCACGGGGCGCAUCUGACGGGACAAGGCUUUGGAAGGGCGGGCAAACCAACACGUGCCUCUGGAGCAGCGACCCGCUGGCCGGCCCCAGCUCCCAGGGCUGGCACCCGCCCGUGGUCAUGCAUCACGCAGACCACAGAGUCGACCACUGCACCUCCUCCUCCCCCUCAUUCCCUGGGCCACAGGCAGAGGUUUUCUCCUGGUGGAACAAUGAGCAAAGUUCCAGCACAAAGGGGAAGGGCCAAGGGCACAGGCGUCAGACCUGUCCGGGGCCUCCGACAGCAGGACUCCAGGCUGCGAGUCGGCAAAGGGCUCCAAGUGGACUUUGAGACAGAGGCCCGGGGGUCCUGUGGGCACCCUGCCGGCCCCAGGCAGGGGCUGGUCUCCUUUCUCAGGGCCAGCCCCACUGCGUCCUGCACCAAGCACACCCUACUCGCUCUGUGUACAGACUAAGGAGGAUCAAAAGCUCUUGCUCCAUGGCCGCUUGUCCCCAGGGAGACCAUGCCUGGGGGCGCAGCCACCUUGAGUAGAGACCAUCACGGGCUGGACCAUGUCCGCUUUCCUGCUCCAGGCUUUGCCUGGAAUACAGGCCGUGAGGCCUGGGGAGCAAGCUGGCGCUGGCUGUGCUUCGCCUGGCCUGGAGCAGACUGAGAGGCGGGAUGUCCCCACAGUAGGUUCAUCCCAAAGGACCUCUGGUGCCCUCCCCCAAACGGGAGUUACGGGGAAGGGACAAGAAGAGGGAGAAGGGAAAAAGACAGAAAAAUGGGGUCAUUUCAUUUGGCCGGCAAAGUUCAAGGCCUGGAACAAGGGGUGGUUCCCACCGUUAAAGAAACAGGGCCUGGGAUGGAGAACGCC